GCCUUUCUAAGCUUUCAACAUGUCAUGAAACGUAGUAGCUGCCUAAGAGUUUGAUUUCCACAUUAUGGUAUUUUCCGCGAAGCAGUAUGGCUACGAGCAAAGGUUGAUAUGUUUUCGUUAUUGUUUGAUCAAUUUUAUCGAAUCCAGGAUAGAUAAAAAAGACACAUUCUUUUGGUGUCUGGUAUGUAGUAGUUUUGUAUCUGAGUAAUAAUUGUAUAGUAGAGCAACUUAGAAGAGCAUACAAAAAGUUUUCUGCAGAUCUUGUAAUAAUAAGCUAGCAGGAUCCUAGUUGUGAUGCCAGAAGGAUGAUAUUUUUU
rnacentral:misc_RNA from 1 species